rnacentral:rRNA from 1 species
AUUGAACGCUGGCGGCAGGCUUAACACAUGCAAGUCGAGCGGAGCGAGGGUGCUUGCACCUUAGCUUAGCGGCGGACGGGUGAGUAAUGCUUAGGAAUCUGCCUAUUAGUGGGGGACAACAUUCCGAAAGGAAUGCUAAUACCGCAUACGCCCUACGGGGGAAAGCAGGGGAUCUUCGGACCUUGCGCUAAUAGAUGAGCCUAAGUCGGAUUAGCUAGUUGGUGGGGUAAAGGCCUACCAAGGCGACGAUCUGUAGCGGGUCUGAGAGGAUGAUCCGCCACACUGGGACUGAGACACGGCCCAGACUCCUACGGGAGGCAGCAGUGGGGAAUAUUGGACAAUGGGCGGAAGCCUGAUCCAGCCAUGCCGCGUGUGUGAAGAAGGCCUUUUGGUUGUAAAGCACUUUAAGCGAGGAGGAGGCUACUUAGAUUAAUACUCUAGGAUAGUGGACGUUACUCGCAGAAUAAGCACCGGCUAACUCUGUGCCAGCAGCCGCGGUAAAAC